CAAAAGAAGGAGGAAGUAACUUGCAGAAUGCUGAGAAAAGCCUCCUGGACUCAAGAGAUCCUCCGAACUCAGCCUCCUGAGUAGCUUGGACUCCAGGCAUACACCACUGCUCCCAGAAGAUUCUGUUAAUCCUUCAUCCGGGUCACCGCUAUCUGACCCAGCCCCCUGCUGCUGCCGUGCACAGACAGCACAUUCACUGCUGGAGGCUACUGUAAGAGAUGAAAUGGCUGGAAGUCCAGCAGGCAACCUGGGCCAUCAUGUUACCUUAAGAAGGGAUGCCCCACACUGAGAUGGUGGAGCCAAA
rnacentral:lncRNA from 1 species